rnacentral:lncRNA from 1 species
AGGGGCCGGCGGCCUGGGCAGCCUCGGGGAGGGGAGGCGGCGCACCGGCCAUUUUCAGCUCGGGUGGAGCUAAGUUUGGAAUCUGUAACCUGGAGGUG